rnacentral:rRNA from 1 species
UGGGGAAUAUUGGGCAAUGGGCGAAAGCCUGACCCAGCAACGCCGCGUGAGGGAAGAAGGGUUUCGGCUCGUAAACCUCUGUCCUAUGGGACGAAGGAAGUGACGGUACCAUAGGAGGAAGCCCCGGCUAACUACGUGCCAGCAGCCGCGGUAAUACGUAGGGGGCGAGCGUUGUUCGGAAUCAUUGGGCGUAAAGGGUGCGCAGGUGGCCGAUCAAGUCUGGCGUGAAAGUGCGGGGCUCAACUCCGUGAUGCGCUGGAAACUGGCCGGCUAGAGUACAGCAGGGGGCGUCGGAAUUCCAGGUGUAGGGGUGAAAUCUGUAGAUAUCUGGAAGAACACCGGUGGCGAAGGCGGACGCCUGGGCAUGUACUGACACUGAGGCACGAAGGUGCGGGGAGCAAACAGGUUUAGAUACCCUGGUAGU